GGAAUGUAGUAGAAGAGGCACAGCAGCAAAUGAAUCCCCGCCUUGGGGGGGAUGCAUGGUAUGCAAUUCAGUGACAUCGAUCACGGAUUCUACCCCCCGCCCCACAACGAUUGCUUCUUCAUGCUCCAGAUCCUCAACACUCACCUCCCCUUUCAAUCGCUACACUCUCACUUCCUCGCUCUUCUUUUGAAGCUCGUUGCCGGGCUCGCUCCUCCGGGAACUCCCUCGCACAUCAAUGCUUUUGUCUUGUCGAAGUUGCGCUGGACGUCCAAUUCCAAAACCCACGCCAAAGCUUCAUCAGUCAGGCGGUGAGGUUGUUUGUUAUGUGUAGCCAGGUCGAUCCUGCAGGAUUCUGAGCUGCCGAGAACUUGUUAGGAGUCUACCACUGCGGAAGAUCCUGAGACUGCUCCGCAAGGGUUGCGUGCGUGUGAGAGCACGGAUUUCCGUCCGCUGUGGACACCAACCAGAUCCUGCAAGUUUCUCUGCAGUGAGUGAGUGCCUGGUCCCCGAGACCUGGAAACCAAGACAUUGCCUGAGUGUUAGUGGAGGUGAAGGUUUCUUAAGGGAGUAUCGAGCUGCAACGUUUCAAUUCGAUAGCUACCCCUUUUGAUUCUAAGCAAAAUUCAUAUUCAGUUUGUACACAAUCGAAUGUUGGAAGCUUCCAAUGCUGCUAGGUUCGGUGCGGUUCCAAUCAGCUUCGAGAAUCUUCGGGUUUCGUGCACUUCUGUGAUCGUAGAUGUUCUUCGAAGGAGUCUGCUUCGUUGAGACAGUUCCUGUAUGUGAUUACUACACAGUUGAGGUUGGAAGCUAAUUCGUCAUUGCUCAAUUCAAUGUGUACAAUUGUUGCUUGGUUACGAGAAAAAUCAUGAUACGAUUCUGAAUGUUUAGUGGUUUCGUUUCGUGUUUGUCGUUGGUUCUCAUUUUGGGGAUGGAUCGUUUGAGAAUUAGUAAACAUGUUUGCUAACAGCACAUGUUUUUGGUGUUUGUAAGUAAACAAUACCUAUAAAUAUAUAUAUAUAUAUAUAUAUAUAUACUUAUUGUUCACUCAUAGGUUCUGAGUGUAAUUAUUCAAGCGUUCUUCUAUUUUACAAAAUUUGCUGAUCAUUUCUGGAAUUAUUGGAGAAUGGCAUAUAUCAUCC
rnacentral:lncRNA from 1 species